UCGGUCGGGUUGGUCAGUUUAGGACAAGUUGUCGAUAAAAAUUAAAGUUACUCAUUUUUGGGUGUAAAGCAACACUAAUAUACUCUGUGACCCUAAAAAAUUUACAGAACUAAUUACCGCAGUAUAGAUAAAAUUCAACUGAGAAACUAAAGAGCAACAAUCACAACCAAAUUAGAAGUUGGUUUCUCACAAUAUUCUCUAUUAAUGGGAUAGGAUUGGAACUUAUAAGGUAGUUAUAAAUUUUUCAUAAAUACACAAGCUCCAAACCACUGUCAGCAAAAUUAUAAACAAGGAGAGAAUAAAAUCUCUAUGCUGAAAUAAAUAUGCACGAUAACUAGAAAAUUGCACAAGCCUUAAGUUUUGUCUCAUGAAUAGUCUAAUGCUUUGAAGAGAAUGAAAGAGUUUUUCUCUUGCCUUAGAGAUUGUAAUUCCAGUUAAACUUAUUCAAGGUACUCACUUUACCCAUCAAGUCUUGAACUAUAAAAUUUCAGUUAACUUUUCACCAAUCAAGUCUUAGAAGUUGGAGCACAGAUUUUUAACAAGUAAUUACAUCACUAAAAAAUUGUAGACCGUAGUAAUUAGUAAAGCCAUUGUAUGUAUAUGAAGAAACAACCAAAUCUGGCAUAGAACAAAGGGUGAAAUAAUAAACUUGGCUUAAGGGUUUUUUAGCGCUGGACGUCAGCGACCGACUUGGGACAACUGAAAAACGAAGAUGGUUAGAACAAAAAAUCAGCAAAAGUAAAACACUAAAGAAUCGUGAAAAAUGAAGGGUGAAAUAA
rnacentral:lncRNA from 1 species